GUAGAUGCCACACUUUCGGCAUCGCCUCUUUCGCCGUGGUGUGCCCUCGGAGGUCAACUUGACCGGACCUGAUGCACCACCCUUAGAGCGCGACGCCAACUUGUUCUUGGUGAAUCUUCCAGUGAAAACACCACCUCUCUCCUUCGGAUUGGAGCAUAGUCGAUGCUUGUUCUUCUCAAGCCAGUCCUCCUCGGCGAGGAGUCAGCAUGUCUUGUCAGUGACCUGGUCAACCUUGUUGUCGAUCCGAUCCUCCGUCGCACGCAGAUGUCCCACCAGCUCAUCAACAGUGAGUUCCUUCAAAUUAUAGAACAUUUCAAUGGUAAUCACUACCUGAGUGAAACACGUUGGGACCACGCGCAAGAAUUUCUUGACGACGCGAAUAUCUUCCACCACUUCGCUGAGGGCUCGAAGAUUUUCGACAAGGUUGCUGAUGUGCAUGCCGAAAUCCUCGACGGACUCGCCGUCCUUGAACUUUAUGUUCUCAAAUUCUUGGAGAAGCUUCUGUGCAUUCACCUCCUUCACUUGAUCGGCACCCAGACGCAUCAUCUUCACGGCAUCCCAGGCUUGCUUCACAGUGUUGCGCGCACCAAGCGAUUGCCAGACAAGUGGACUUGAAUCAUGGGAUUUGGUUUGUCCGGUAUGCAUCUAUUAGGGUCAAGUAAUAAUGAUCUGGCACAUGCAGGCCCACUAAGAGGACAAAGGAACAUGGUGCUUGAAGCUAUAAUUGUCUGUCCAAUUUUUCAGAUAAUUGUUAUAUUCAUAUCACUAUGAUCUCUGAUAGGAUAGUUUCUUUGGUUCAUCUUUUUUUAACAUAUUAGGGUCAAGUAAUAAUGAUCUAGCACAUGCAGGCCCACUAAGAGGACAAAGGAACAUGGUGCUUGAAGCUGUAAUUGUCUGUCCAGAUUUUCAGAUAAUUGCUAUAUUUAUAUCACUAUGAUCUCUGAUAGGAUAGUUUCUUUGGUUCAUCUUUUUUUACAUAUUAGGGUCAAGUAAUAAUGAUCUGGCACAUGCAGGCCCACUAAGAGGACAAUGGAACAUAGUGUUUGAAGCUGUAAUUGUCUGUCCAAUUUUUCAGAUAAUUUCUAUAUUCAUAUCACUAUGAUCUCUGAUAGGAUAGUUUCUUUGCUUCAUAUUUUUUUAACAUUAGGAAUGGUGCAUGGCAAAAAAAUCUGAAAAACCUGAUCUGGUACACCUUCAAAUCGAAUAAUCACACAUGGUCAACAUCCUAACAGAAUCAUUGUGUACAGAUAGCUGCUUUUACUUGGAAGUAAAGCUGAGGAUGAAGAUGUACUUUAGAGGAAAUGAAACCCUGUAACGAUAGAUGAGUAGAAGAUGCUAAAGGGUGUUGCACGAAUAUGCUAGAAAUGCUAAUAGGACUAGCAAAAUUUUGUUUGUUUUAAUAGUUCAGAAUGAUAAUGAUCUGUUGUUACUUAGCCUGUAAACCUUCCUUGCGCCACUUUGUAAAUAACAACAAAUUAGUACUACAAACAUCUUUAUCAUUUGGUUUUGCUGCAAAGCAAUCAUUAUGAAGUUUCUAAAAUGUGCUUCCAUCCACAGGUUUGAUCCUGAAACGGGACUCUUGACUCGUUAUUUGAAAAGUGCUCAUAGAAGGCCAAUUGGAUCAGGCUCAUUUUUCCCAAGGACGAGUUGGAAAAACAUCUCUUGUGCUGUGGUAUGUGAAUAAUGUCUUCUCAGACAAACAUGAAGCAACAGUUCAAGCCUCUUAUUUGACAAAACGCCUUGUUGUUGAAGAUCCCUUUUCUCUGAUGGAUAUGCUGAUAUUCAAAGCUGUGGAAGAGCAGGUCAAGAAGAGGGUAGCGAAUAAGGCAAGGAUCUUCGAGCAGAAUGCCACUGAUAGUGAGUGCAAGGUCGAUCCUAAAGUGCUCUCCAAGCUAUAUGAUCAGUGGGUGAUGCCACAGACCAAGGAUGUCGAAGUUGAGUACCUCCUGCGUUGUCUUGACUAAUCACCGAUUAGCUAUAGCUAUAAAUUUUAUGUAUGCAUGGUUUCAGUUGCGCUCGAACCAAUUGUCUCGAUCUUGAAUGGACAUUUUGAUGUUUAUUUCAUGAAUGUUCAGGUCAACGGCAAGAGAAACCAAUUGCGUUGUAUGAGUUUUAGAUCAUAACUCAAGUUUUUUUGUA